AGCAACUCCUGACAAUAAUAAAUUGAGGAAACAAACUUGGAUUUCCUGGAGCUGUGAUGAAUUGCUGACUUGAUUUGAUUCAAUCUGCACGCAGCGCCAUAAGUUGCAGAUGCUUUCGAAAACUGGAUAUCCAUGCCUUUCAGCAUACACACAGUGUGAACUGAGAAGAAAGCGUCCAAUACUGGUUCUGCGCAUUACUGAUGUUCCUGCGGCCAAAAAAGCAUACUGGCUUUCGGACGGGAAUGUCUCUGCAUUAAAUUAUUCAGGGAAUAUCAGCUGCAUGACUCUUGGAUUUCCGUAGCUUGUGAAGGUGAUUGAAAAGCGGUAUAGCUCUAGCAGAUUCUAAGCGUGAGCGCGCAACCAAAACAGGAACGAUAUCUUUGUUACGAUUUUUUUCAAGAUUUUGAGGAGAAUUUAUUGAUAGACGACGCGUUGGUUCGACCGGGUUUGGGCAGACCCAAUUCCUUUUUCAAACAUAGUAGCAACUGCAAGAUACGACAAACCAAAGAAAACUUUAAGUACCUUGGAUGGCUUAACUUGGAUAUCCGUGUCAAUUUUAUAAACAAUGGCAUCACUGAUAAUUUUCAUUACUGUUUUAGCGUUUGAUUUGUGAAGGUAACGAAUCUGAAUUUUGGAAAUCCAAAACAUUGGUUGUGAUGUUAGAAUU